UACGUAGGGUGCGAGCGUUACUCGGAAUUACUGGGCGUAAAGUGUGCGCAGGCGGCCGCGCAAGUCGAGUGUGAAAGCCCCGGGCUUAACUUGGGAAUUGCGCUCGAAACUACGUGGCUGGAGUAUGGCAGAGGAAGGUGGAAUUCCACGUGUAGCGGUGAAAUGCGUAGAGAUGUGGAGGAACACCGAUGGCGAAGGCAGCCUUCUGGGCCAAUACUGACGCUCAUGCACGAAAGCGUGGGGAGCAAACAGG
rnacentral:rRNA from 1 species